rnacentral:lncRNA from 1 species
GAAAAGGAAGAAGGAAAAACAUCUUUUCAUCUUAGGAAAGUUUGUGAAGAGCAAAAAACAAAUGUAGUGAUUUUGAUGAAUGUCAGGAGCAUAACAAAGCAAAGACAAGCCCCUUUCCCUUGUGGGCUAUUGGAGCUGAUUUGAUGCAAUUGAAGAAUACUGUACAGAGAAGCUUCUUCUGCUGUGAACUAUGUGCUAAGAUCCAGAAACUCAAGAAAACAACUUAAUGACUCUUAUUCCAGGAAGAGCAUGGCAAUUUUCAGAAAAGUGUUCUCUGCUGGCCUGGUUGAGGGUCAUGAUGCAGCUAGAGUGGCUGCUAAUUUACCAAAGAUGGCUUCGAUGCUUCAAAGACAUUGACACUAAGGCUGGUUUCUGGCUGCGAUAUUCCUGGGGUUCCCAAUGAAUGAAGCUAAUUGGUUUUGCUCAGAGUGACAGG